UGUGAAAACAGGUAUAAAGUUUAUUGCUAGAAACACUACAACAUGUGGGAGAGCACGCAGAGGAGUAGUUUAUUUAUCUAAAGCAGAAGCAAAGCAGAAAUGCACACCCAAAGGAGGCGUGAGGGUGCAGGCAUCCCCCUGAAGCGAGCCAGAGAGCUGACUUAAAUCACUUAGAUGGGACAGUUCUUCCGGGUCUUUGUUUUCCUUUGGCCAAGGAUCCUGUUUUAUUUCGCACACCUACUGGACCCAGGCCCCUCCCCAGUCUGCGUGUGCACCUUCUGGCCAAGAUGGAUUCCAGAGCAAAGGGUUCUGGGAUGGUGUCAGGACUUCUUAUGGCCUGACGCCCCCUCCCUCUUUGACCCUGAGGGGGUCUUUCUGUGCAGGUGGAGUUGGGGAGGGCUCCUGGACGCAGGGGUGAUUGAAGGGUCAUCUUAUCUUUUUAUUCCAACAGAGCUCAGCUCCCGUCAUUAACUUUCUCCUUGACGUGUCAAGGAGAAACAAGGCCCAGUUUACUCCGCCUAACAAGUCCCAGCUGGUUUCUUCCCCCCCCGCUCCUGCUUUUUAGGGCUGCACCUGUGGCUUAUGGAGGUUCCCAGGCUAGGGGUCGAAUCAGAGCUGCAGCUGCCAGCCUCCACCACAGCCACAGCGACGCCAGAUCUGCAACCCACUGAGCAAGACCAGGGAUCGAACCCAAGUCUUCAUGGUCACUAGGUGGGUUGUUUCCGCUGUGCCACAACGGGAACCCCCAAGCCCCAGCUGUUGUCAGCCCAGGGGCCCAUCCAUCUUCUACCUCAAGUUGAAGGGACACAGGAUGGAGAAGACAGCACGCAGGGAACAGAGAACGUGCCAUGUGCUGGGGAAAGGCUGCCAUUCCUGGAGACAGACCACCGUGCGCUAUCCUUCAUACCCUGGAUGGAUGGAACCUGGGGCGGGUGACGCGGGGCAGGGAGCAGAAGCAGGGGCGCCUGCUCCUGCCCAGAGGUUUACAAGGUGUUUCGUUGACCCUGCACGUCUUGGCCACCUGCGUUUUCCUGUAAGCCCAAGGCAUUCCUCAUAUUCCCUCAACUCGCUUCUACACAGAAGUAAUUCGAUAUUUAUAUGUUUACCUUCCCUUUGAAAAAAACUUAACAGCAGUGUGAUGAAUUCCACAGCAGGGGUGGUUGUUAGUUUAUUGUGUGUCACAAGCCUCUAAAUGAGCCGGUGGGGUGAGCAGGCCUUGGAGACAUGGCUGCAGAGGAAUGAGACUGGUUCCACCUGUCCCCCGGGCGGGGGGUGGCUGCCUCCUUCCCGCUGCCCAGCCAGUGCGCAUGUGCACACGGGCCCUCACGCUGGACCAGGGGAGCCCCGGAGGUCCAGGUAUCCUGGCUCUGCUGCCAAGGGGGCCAGCCUGACUUGGGUUAUUUGACUGCAUAGAUCCGGCUACAGACCAGAGGAUAAUUAGAUCUUUCCCCCAGACAAGCUGAGGUUUCUGCGUGAAGGGGGAAUUCCUCCCAACCCUUCACAGCCUGUGGGCUGGAGGGACGGGUAACUCUCAGGAAGGUGGCGGGGUCAUUCUGUUUCCCUGCCCAGUAAGGGCUGAGUCUCCCCGGGCCCAGCCCAGCUGGACAAACCAAUGGAUUGACCUGCCUGCCAGAUUCCCGUGCUGUUCCCCGCGAGGGCUCUGGGUCCACCCACCUCCCAAUUCCUUCC
rnacentral:lncRNA from 1 species